rnacentral:lncRNA from 10 species
ACUUGUUUGUGCUCUAGGAAGUCCCCAAGAGCACAGGAGCCCAGAGACCUCGCAGGAGGAAGCAGCAGUAUCUGUGUUCCAAAUCCUGCCCAGCCCCCAGGCAGCCAUGGUAUCUUCUCAGCUGGCUCGAGGGCACACCUCCCAAAAUGCAGAGAAGGCAGGGUGGCUAGGAAUGGCUCUAGUAGAAUUCUCCCCUUAUCUUGUCUGGAAACAAGGGGCAAAGAGCUAUCUAUUUCCUCCUGCCAGCCUCCUGCCCCCAACAGGAUUCCUCACAUCCCAGGACCAGCUGGAAAAGGUGGUGAGAGUUGGAAAGAGACUGCUCAGUGAGGACUGCCCUGCGAACCAGCUUGGAUUCAUCCCGUUCACCUCCACGUUCUGCACUCGGGGCCGAGGGAAGGGAGGCAGCCCAGGCAGCUAGAGAACUUGAUGAAACACACUCAAUCUGAAUCUCGCUUGAUCGUCAUGCUGACCCAGUGAGUCUACUCAGGGUCAGGCAUCCUUUCCGACUACUCACUCAGCAGCGGAUCCCCACCCGCCUCUGACUCCCAGUGUCUUUCGGCUCCAACGUAAGUUCACCGAACGUCUAAGAGCUGAGGAUUCAAAGGCAUGUAAGACCGCCCCUGCCCUCAGCUGCAAGACCUGUCCGCGAUCCUACGAGCCCCAUUCCGCCCUCUUUCCCCGACCUUGGUCCCCCAUGGGCCCUACAACCAGGUCCCCGACUGACACCUUGACCAGCGAACACAGCAAACAGGCCCGCAGAUGCCGCAGGUCCUUCGGCACCGUCUCCAGGGCCAUCUUCGCCGAUGGGAAGAACAACAGGGAGAUAGACGACCACAGCCUGUGCACCCGCAGGAAGUAAAUAGCUCGUUACCCAGAAUGCCCACCACUUCCGGCGCUUAGACUUCCUCUUCCGGUGUGGGCGGACGCCAGCUCCGCCCCUACCCCCGCCAGAGGAGAUGGUUUCUCCCGCCAGCAGGCGGGGAGGCUGGGCGGCCGGCCGCCACCUGGGCCGGAGCGCGUCGCAGCCACCUGAGCCCGCCGAGGGCGCGGCGGAGGCUGUGUGGGGUAGUCAGCGGGCCCCCGGGGCGGGGGGGCGGCUGCGCUUGCGCGGGAGUGUGUCGGGCUGAGCCGCAGCGCCGAGACGCGGGCUGUUUGAUCUGGGCUGGUGGCCCUGGGCGUCGGUCCUGUUCCCCGAUGGUAACCCGAAGUUUGUUUUUUUUUGUUUUGUCUCCCCGUUUUAGAAGCAUUGGGGGCAGUGAAUCCACUGUCUCCCUCUGGAUUGUCUCUGCAGAGACCGAGAAGAAAUCCAGGGACAGCCCCACCCCUCCUUCCUAACUGCGAGAGCGCUAUAGGGUUUCCACUUGCUUCCCACAGGAAUGCUGGCCUGGGAGCUACGGCGGAAAAAAAUGCGUAUUUAUCUUUUAAAACUCCGUCUGUUUGCUCGUUCCGGCUGAUAAUUUAUACUUUGCGCAGUUCUUAGCGCUUAGACACGGUUCCUUUACUAAAGACCAUUUGUAGGAGAUUAGGUGUCCUUUUUUUCCCUUUCAUUUCACCGUCUAGGAAGCGAAAUGCCUUGUUCUAUAGGCACUAAACCACCACCCCUACCAAACCUUUCUCGGGGAAGCAGAAGGGGAACUUGUGCCUUGUGAGGAAGCGACAAAGGCCCCUUCUGGCCCUGGAGACUUCACGCCAAUGGAGCACCAGCUCUCUGUCCUCGCAAUAGCCCGAGUGCAGGCAGAACGCAGUCAUUUGUGUUUAUCUGAGAGGAGCUUUGGGAUAUAAAUAGUUUCAGGCCCCGCUGCGCUGUCAUUCCAGCCCAGCCUCCUGAUUGAGCUGCUUCCGGGCGGGCUUUCUUCUUGUUGGCGGUCCCAUGCUGUGUUCAGAUGGGCUCUGUGACAGGUUUGGAUGUUUUCUAUCACUGAAUAAAACUUUCCACUUUGGAACAUAUUUUCUACACUCUAUUAUCUCAUGUAAGUCCUGCAACAACUAUUAAGUAGGCCCAUUUUAUGGACUGAAAAAGCGAGGCACAGAGUAUUUGCCCAAGGUCUGAGUCACUGAAGUAUGAUAAUGUGUGAAGUGAACAGUAUAAUAAUAAUGACUGAAGCACAGUAAGAAUCCAGUCAUGCUUUCUCCUUCCCUGAUCUCACUAAGCCACACUUUUAGGGGCUUACAAACCAGUUCUUAUUGCCAAGCCCUCUACUCUACCCUAUCCUUUCAUGAAUCGGAGCCUAGCCUCUGAUAACAUAAAUAAUUUACUUCUCUUGAUGUAGAAAGAGAUGACGUUGUUACCCUGAGUGACAGUCACGACAGAACAAAACCACAAGACCAGACCACAUUUGUGGAUAAAUAUAUUAGCAAAUAAAUAUAUUUCUUAACAUAGUGCCUGA